rnacentral:rRNA from 1 species
ACACGUAGGGGGCAAGCGUUGUCCGGAUUUAUUGGGCGUAAAGAGCUCGUAGGCGGUUGCGUAAGUCGGAUGUGAAAACUCAGGGCUCAACCCUGAGAUGCCAUUCGAUACUGCGCUGACUAUAGUCCGGUAGAGGAGCACGGAAUUCCUGGUGUAGCGGUGAAAUGCGCAGAUAUCAGGAGGAACACCAGUAGCGAAGGCGGUGCUCUGGACCGGUACUGACGCUGAGGUGCGAAAGCGUGGGUAGCAAACAGGAUUAGAAACCCCGGUAGUCC